rnacentral:rRNA from 1 species
AACGAACGCUGGCGGCAUGCCUAACACAUGCAAGUCGAACGAGACCUUCGGGUCUAGUGGCGCACGGGUGCGUAACGCGUGGGAAUCUGCCCUUGGGUUCGGAAUCACAGUUGGAAACGACUGCUAAUACCGGAUGAUGACGUAAGUCCAAAGAUUUAUCGCCCCAGGAUGAGCCCGCGUAGGAUUCGCUAGUUGGUGAGGUAAAGGCUCACCAAGGCGACGAUCCUUAGCUGGUCUGAGAGGAUGAUCAGCCACACUGGGACUGAGACACGGCCCAGACUCCGACGGGAGGCAGCAGUGGGGAAUAUUGGGCAAUGGGCGAAAGCCUGAUCCAGCAAUGCCGCGUGAGUGAUGAAGGCCUUAGGGUUGUAAAGCUCUUUUACCCGGGAUGAUAAUGACAGUACCGGGAGAAUAAGCUCCGGCUAACUCCGUG